UACGGGGGAUGCGAGCGUUAUCCGGAUUUAUUGGGUUUAAAGGGCGCGUAGGCGGGACGCCAAGUCAGCGGUAAAAGACUGCAGCUAAACUGUAGCACGCCGUUGAAACUGGCGACCUGGAGACGAGACGAGGGAGGCGGAACAAGUGAAGUAGCGGUGAAAUGCAUAGAUAUCACUUGGAACCCCGAUAGCGAAGGCAGCUUCCCAGGCUCGAUCUGACGCUGAUGCGCGAGAGCGUGGGUAGCGAACAGG
rnacentral:rRNA from 1 species